ACAAGUCAAUCCCAUGCCAAAUCGGUGGCAAGGUUCGAAAGAUGCUACCAGAUUAGGAUGAGAUUUACUCGUUUCAAUGACU
ensembl:ncRNA F25D1.9 ncRNA